ensembl:lncRNA
AAGACUAAAAAUAAAUGUGCCUCUGAGUCCAGUUUUCAGCUUUUGCAAUCAAGACAAAGACAUGAUUCUUCACCCUCCCACCAAGAUUUAAUGAAAUUGCUUUUGGAAGUGCUAAAAACAAGAACAGGAAUUGCAAUAUAAAUCUUAAAGAAGAGAUUGUUUUAUACUCCAAACUACUUUAGUGACCACUGGAAGGAACACGUGCCAAAACUUCCAGUGCUGGGGAUGUGUCAGCCUCCCAGAAGAGACGCAGUGUCAGUGUGUGUGUGAAAGAAAUCCCUGUACAGCAAUGGAGACCAAAGACAAAACUGCAUUUCAUAUAAGGUGGAACGAGAAAGAGAAUGAGCGACAUAAAUUGAAAGUGUGCAAAUAGGAAGGACUGAAAGUCAAGCAGUGAUAGAAAAGCCUGAGACUGGAGAAGGAGCCAGGGAGAGCCUCUUGCUUCCCAUGACUAAAGGUGAAAUCCAUGGUGGAGGGAGAGACAAACAGUGCCAUGACAAGGAACUAUGUUGAGCACAAGAACUGAGGCUAACUGAGGCAGAUUCAUAAUGAGGAAUGACCAGGAGUAUAAAUGGAGAAGGAGAAAGAUGAAAGAAAAUGACAGAUCCUCCUGGAAGACAUGUUAAGGCACGUGAGGGACAAGCAAGUGAUCUGAAACAGCCACCUGGACUUCACCAAGAGGAAGGUUGUCCCUGACCAAUCUAUGGUUUUCUUUAAUUGAGUGAUGGCAUCAGUGGACAAAGGGAAGGCAACUGUUGUCAUCUACCUGGACUUCUGCAAGGCCUUUGACACUGUCCCCCACCACAUCCUUCUCUCUAAAUUGGAGAGGUAUGGAUUUCAAGGGUGAACUACUUGGUGCAUAAUUGGUUAGAAGGUCACAGCCAGAGGGUUGUGGUCAAUGGCUCUAUGUCCAGGAGUAGGCCACUGAUGAGUGGUGUCCCCCAGGGGCCUGUCUUGGGACUGGUACUCUUUAACAUCUUUAUUGAUUGCACAGAUGAUGGGAUCAAGUGCACCCUCAGCAAGUUUGCUGCUGUCACCAAGUAGAGCAGUGCAGUUGAUACAGAAG